AAUGUCCUCCAGGCUAUUCCAACAAACACUGAGCUGUGGGUUUAACUGUGCACAUCAAAGUGAAGAACCGAGAGAACGGUCCUGCAAGGGAGAUAAGCGCCUUUCUGCAACACCCCCCCCACCACCACCAAAAAAAAAAAAGCCCAUCCCAUACACGCCUCAGUUUCCUGUUGCACCAUUGCGCCAGACACUCCCGUGGCAGCCUGGCACACAGCUGGAGCGAAUUCUUUUUCAAAGGAGGAUUUUUUAUUAUGUUGUCUUUUUUUUUUAAUGAAAGCUUUCAGACUUGGAAUUUUUUUUUCAUCUCUUGAGUUGUUACUAAGUUGCCAGGACCUUAUCAAAGGGAAACAAUCUCCAGCCAACUCCCCCAGGCCUUGGAACGUCAGAAAUUAUGAUUCCGCCCAGAGGCCGCAAUCAGGUUCACUCACAGUGCUUUGUCCCAGUACAUACAAAGACUGAGUCCCUGAGUAUAUGAUGUAAGGUCCUCAUCGUUCCAAUAUUUAUGCAUGUAUUACCAGGAGAGGUCAUGGGAAUUUAAUCUCAUCUAUUUGUAGCCACUCGCUGCUUAACCGCAGCUUGCUAGAAUAUUGCGAGCAGCCCAGAUGUGAAGAGCUUUGGCAGAUCGAGCAAGUGACAUAUUUGAAAAGGCCGCAAGAAGGGAAACAUUUGAAGAUUCGUCUCAUUUGCACAGUUUGCGGGCACAAUGAAUGCAUCAAAGACUAGAAAGACUCUUAAUAUUAAUAAUAAAUUAGUAUGUAUUUGUGUCGUGGUAGCAUCUAUGAGCCCCAGUCAUGGACCGGGCCCCUAUUGUGCUAGGCGCUGUACAAGCAACAGAACAAAAAGAUGGUCCCUACCCCAAAGAGUUUACAAUCUAAUCCCACCACCACCCAGCAAACCCUUGCUACCUACACAGAGUUUACUACUGCGAGUAGUUCCACUGAAACCUAUAGUACUAAUGUGCUAUAGAUGCCAAAGGCUGUGUCUACACCAGCCUUCAUUGUGAAAAGCUUCCUACCAGUAGUAGCAAUGGUGGGAGUGCUUGUGUAGACAGGGCUUCAGUUGGCAGCUAUGGACUAAGCCCCAUAAAAUCUAAAUUUGCUCUGCGUAGGUCUAUGUGACAGAGUAGUUGAAAGGACUGAUACUUUGUGCCACCAUUAGGAAAGCUGCACCAGUGUUAGAAAUGGAAAGGGUGGUGGGAAAGAGAGCUCUUUAGAUAAAAGCCUAGUGUUAAAAAGUCUGAGCCUAUUCAUAGGAGUAAUCAAGUGCUUGUAGGAUUAGGCCCCUUCCAGGCUCCCUAAAAACACCCUUUGCCCUCCCCAGAUUCCUCCAGUUUCCUUAGUUUGUACAGUAUGUAAAAUGUUCUCCUGAUGGUUUUUAGGCACUGGAAAAGUUCUUACAGUGCUUGUUAUUGGCAAAUUCUAAUAUAAGCUCUCCCUCAUGCCCAUCAAAAAGAUGUUCCUAUAAACUGUUCAGAUCAGUUAAUUAGUCAUUACUAAUUAGAAACUGUUAGUUAAUACGGUGAUGGGCACUAUAGAAAACCCUAAGACAGAGGGAUAAACUGGAGAAGAGAAGACUGAGAGGGGACAUAUACAGUUUUCAAGUACAUAAAAGGUUGUU